rnacentral:rRNA from 1 species
GAUGAACGCUGGCGGCGUGCCUAAUACAUGCAAGUCGAGCGAACGGACGAGAAGCUUGCUUCUCUGAUGUUAGCGGCGGACGGGUGAGUAACACGUGUAUAACCUACCUAUAAGACUGGGAUAACUUCGGGAAACCGGAGCUAAUACCGGAUAAUAUUUUGAACCGCAUGGUUCAAAAGUGAAAGACGGUCUUGCUGUCACUUAUAGAUGGAUCCGCGCUGCAUUAGCUAGUUGGUAAGGUAACGGCUUACCAAGGCAACGAUGCAUAGCCGACCUGAGAGGGUGAUCGGCCACACUGGAACUGAGACACGGUCCAGACUCCUACGGGAGGCAGCAGUAGGGAAUCUUCCGCAAUGGGCGAAAGCCUGACGGAGCAACGCCGCGUGAGUGAUGAAGGUCUUCGGAUCGUAAAACUCUGUUAUUAGGGAAGAACAUAUGUGUAAGUAACUGUGCACAUCUUGACGGUAACUAAUCAGAAAGCCACGGCUAACUACGUG